rnacentral:rRNA from 1 species
UAGGGAAUCUUCGGCAAUGGACGAAAGUCUGACCGAGCAACGCCGCGUGAGUGAAGAAGGUUUUCGGAUCGUAAAACUCUGUUGUUAGAGAAGAACAAGGACGUUAGUAACUGAACGUCCCCUGACGGUAUCUAACCAGAAAGCCACGGCUAACUACGUGCCAGCAGCCGCGGUAAUACGUAGGUGGCAAGCGGUGUCCGGAUUUAUUGGGCGUAAAGCGAGCGCAGGCGGUUUCUUAAGUCUGAUGUGAAAGCCCCCGGCUCAACCGGGGAGGGUCAUUGGAAACUGGGAGAAUUGAGUGCAGAAGAGGAGAGUGGAAUUCCAUGUGUAGCGGUGAAAUGCGUAGAUAUAUGGAGGAACACCAGUGGCGAAGGCGGCUCUCUGGUCUGUAACUGACGCUGAGGCUCGAAAGCGUGGGGAGCAAACAGG